rnacentral:piRNA from 1 species
UAGAUGCAUAGGAGGGGGAGAAUGUU